rnacentral:rRNA from 1 species
GGUGUAGCCGCAGCGAAAGCGAGUCUGAUAAGGGGCGCUUAGUUGCGUGGGGCAGACCCGAAACCGUGUGAUCUACCCAUGGUCAGGUUGAAGCGCGAGUAACAUCGCGUGGAGGACCGAACUCACUAAGGUUGAAAACUUAGGGGAUGAACUGUGGGUAGGGGUGAAAGGCCAAUCAAACUCGGAAAUAGCUGGUUCUCCCCGAAAUAUAUUUAGGUAUAGCCUCGGGCGUUCUCUGUUGGAGGUAGAGCACUGAAUGGGCUAGGGGCCUCACCAGGUUACCGACCCCAAUCAAAACUCCGAAUGCCAUCAAGAGUAGCCCGGGAGUCAGACUGCGAGUGAUAACAUUCGUAGUACAAAAGGGAAACAACCCAGACCGCCGGACUAAGGUCCCAAAUUUCAUGCUAAGUGGGAAAGGAUGGUGGGAGCGCACUGACAACC